rnacentral:tRNA from 1 species
GGGGCGGUAGCUCAACUGGGAGAGCAUCGCGUUCGCAAUGCGAAGGUCUAGAGUUCGAUACUCCUCCGCUCUA